rnacentral:rRNA from 1 species
GCAAGCGUUAUCCGGGAUUUAUCGGGUUUAAAAGGGUACGUAGGCGGGAGCUUAAGUCAGUGGUGAAAUCCUGCAGCUUAACUGUAGAACUGUCAUUGAUACUGGGCUUCUUGAAUGUAGUUGAGGUAGGCGGAAUGUGUAAUGUAGCGGUGAAAUGCUUAGAUAUUACACAGAACACCGAUUGCGAAGGCAGCUUACUAAACUACGAUUGACGCUGAGGUACGAAAGCGUGGGGAGCGAACAGGAUUAGAUACCCUGGUAGUCCACGCUGUAAACGAUGAUCACUCGUUGUUGGCAAUGCACCGUCAGCGACUGAGCGAAAGCAUUAAGUGAUCCACCUGGGGAGUACGACCGCAAGGUUGAAACUCGAAGGAAUUGACGGGGGCCCGCACAAGCGGAGGAACAUGUGGUUUAAUUCGAUGAUACGCGAGGAACCUUACCUGGGCUUAAAUGUAGAACGACGGACCGGGAAACUGGUCUUUCUUCGGACGGUCUGCAAGGUGCUGCAUGGCUGUCGUCAGCUCGUGCCGUGAGGUGUCGGGUUAAGUCCCAUAACGAGCGCAACCCUCAUCAUUAGUUGCCAGCGGGUAAUGCCGGGGACUCUAAUGAAACUGCCGGUGUAAACCGAGAGGAAGGUGGGGAUGACGUCAAGUCAGCACGGCCCUUAUGUCCAGGGCUACACACGUGUUACAAUGGUCGGUACAAAGGGCAGCUACCUGGCGACAGGAUGCUAAUCUCGAAAACCGAUCUCAGUUCGGAUCGAAGUCUGCAACUCGACUUCGUGAAGCUGGAUUCGCUAGUAAUCGCGCAUCAGCCAUGGCGCGGUGAAUACGUUCCCGGGCCUUGUACACACCGCCCGUCAAGCCAUGGAAGCUGGGGGUACCUGAAGUCCGUAACCGCA